GCGGGCAUCGUAUAAUGGUAUUACAUCAGCUUCCCAAGCUGGAUAAGCGGGUUCGAUUCCCGUUGCCCGCU
rnacentral:tRNA from 1 species